rnacentral:rRNA from 1 species
AGAUUGAACGCUGGCGGCAUGCCUAACACGUGCAAGUCGAGCGGCAGCGCGGGGGCGACCCUGGCGGCGAGCGGCGGACGGGUGAGUAAUGCAUCGGAACGUAUCCUUGAGUGGGGGAUAACGCAGCGAAAGUUGUGCUAAUACCGCAUAAGCUCUGAGGAGGAAAGCGGGGGACCGAAAGGCCUCGCGCUGAAGGAGCGGCCGAUGUCCGAUUAGCUAGUUGGUGAGGUAAAGGCUUACCAAGGCGACGAUCGGUAGCUGGUCUGAGAGGAUGAUCAGCCACACUGGGACUGAGACACGGCCCAGACUCCUACGGGAGGCAGC